rnacentral:rRNA from 1 species
AACGUAGGAGGCGAGCGUUAUCCGGAUUCACUGGGCGUAAAGCGCAUGUAGGUGGUUCGUUAAGUAGGCUGUGAAAGCCCCCGGCUCAACUGGGGGAGGUCAACCUAAACUGGCGGACUUGAGGUUUCGAGAGGAAGGUGGAAUUCCCGGUGUAGCGGUGGAAUGCGUAGAGAUCGGGAGGAACACCAGUGGCGAAAGCGGCCUUCUGGCGGAACCCUGACACUGAAAUGCGAAAGCGUGGGGAG